rnacentral:rRNA from 1 species
UACGAAGGGAGCUAGCGUUACUCGGAAUUACUGGGCGUAAAGCGUGCGUAGGCGGCUUUGUAAGUCGGAAGUGAAAGCCCAGGGCUUAACCUUGGAAUUGCUUUCGAAACUGCUUAGCUAGAGUAUCAGAGGGGAUGGCGGAAUUCCUAGUGUAGAGGUGAAAUUCGUAGAUAUUAGGAGGAACACCGGUGGCGAAGGCGGCCAUCUGGCUGAUAACUGACGCUGUUGCACGAAAGCGUGGGGAGCAAACAGG